rnacentral:rRNA from 1 species
GAGGUAGUGACAAUAAAUCACAAUGCGGAACUAUUAGUUUUGCAAUUGGAUUGAGAACAAUGUACAAAUGUUAUCGAUAAACAAUUGGAGGGCAAGUCUGGUGCCAGCAGCCGCGGUAAUUCCAGCUCCAAUAGCGUAUAUUAACGUUGUUGCAGUUAAAAAGCUCGUAGUUGAAUUGAAGUGAACUUGGGUUGAUGUGAUCUUCGGAUGACAUGAAUCAAAGUUGACUCUUUCCAAAGUCAAUACAUUGGUAUUCAUUUAUCUUUGUAUUGUGUUUGGUCAUUUACUGUGAGAAAAUUAGAGUGUUCAAGGCAGACGUUUGUUUGAAUACAUUAGCAUGGAAUAAUCAUAUAUGGCUUUCAUGUUGAUUUGAUUGGUUUGAAUAUGGAAGCAAGAUUAAAAGGGACAGUUGGGGGUAUUCAUAUUCAAUAGUCAGAGGUGAAAUUCUGGGAUUUAUGGAAGAUGAACAAGUGCGAAAGCA